rnacentral:snoRNA from 1 species
AUCCCAUGGUGAGGGCAUUCUCUUUGGUAUUCUUUUAAUCGGUCACAAGCUUCAAAAAGCGACUCAUCCUGCUUUUGCUCAAAUGAUUGAAUUUUGUGACGAU